UGGAGAUUUGUUUCACUCUCUGAAUAUUAUACUAAAUACUUUACAUUGAAUAUCUUUUAGGAAGGGGAUUAACAUGGCAAUUUUGAUGAUAUGUAGAUGUACAGUACACAUAUUAUAUACUAAAUCAUAACAUAAAUUUGUUGUAUGGAGGUUAUCUAUGAAUAAAUUAUGAAUGUUCAGGCAAACUCAAGUUUUUCUGAUCUCAAUAAGAGAAGCGAACGCUAAUUGGAGAUCUGUUUCACUCUCUGAAUAUUACACUAAAUACUUUACAUUGAAUAUCUUUUGUACAUCUUUACGCAUUUAAUUUUCCUGUAAAUACAAUAACAUCUACCGUCCAUCAAUAAUAUUUUACAUCCUAACCUCUUCAAAAAGUCACACAACAAAUCUUAUAACACAAUUAAUUACAAUACCAUUUCAUACCAUAAUAGGUACAUCACAGAUAAACUACGGAUUUUUAGACUAAAUUUAGAGGCACAAAAAUCUACAGACUGUAUAUGAUCUAGAAAAAUAAUAAGAUAUCCAAUGCUCUGUCCAAAGUAUUCUUUAUAAUUUUUAUUGGAUGAAACAAAUUUCUAUGUGCACAAGAUUAGGUGAUUCACCCAGAGUACAAAGAAAGGGUGGAGGUGGGGUUAAGGUAAGUACAUAUAGGAGGAAGGAGAAUAAUAAUUCGACAAAGCGGCGGUCGGAAAGAAAGAAAUCCAUAUUCAGAUCCGAUGAUGUAUCCGGGGCCGCGAGAGGGCUGCUCCCCAUUCAAAGGGGAGGAGGUAAAGGGAAGCAAGCCUAUGGAAGAGGAAAGGAAGGAGGAAGCCGCGUGAACGUGUACUAGGUCCCACCACUACUAUACUCACCUCACCCUUUUCACAUCUUUCUUCUCUUUUUCUAUCUUUCUCUGUUCGUACAGAGAGUAUAUGCCGCGUUUUGCCUUUAUCAUCGGCGGCGGCGGCAAACCCUUAGCCGCGCCACGAUUAUGAUUCCGAUUAUUAUGAUUAUGAUUAUGAUUAUGAUUAUUAUGAUUAUUGUUAGGUGGAGGUAUCGCGUUGCCGUCACGGGCACGUCGACCCAUGCUUUGUCCACGUGACAGCGAUAGGGCCCAUUUAUGUCGAGAACACACACUCCACGCCGACGUUAUAAUGGAGGAUAAAUCCAGCCGAAAAGACCACAAUACAUACAUCGUUCUGUCGUAGCAUUAACCGCAAAAUCCUAGAAGAAUCUCAGUUUCGUCUAAAAGGCGAAGGACGCACCAAACUACCAAGCGUGAGUGUAUAGAGGGGUUAAAAAUCCUAUUCUAAAAAUUCCGAGAAAAUCAGCCUUCUAGAAACCAUUCCUACAUGAAGAAACACUCUACACCACUCGAACCAGUUCGAUAACCUAACCCAGCUCCUCUCGCCGUACCUAUACAACCCUCUGCUUCACUCGACGCUGACGAACAACCUCGUCUACUUCAUCUUCAAAGAGACAACAACCUCACUCUUCGAUAGGCUGCUACUGCUAGACGGAAAAACUGUAAUCGGAUCCGUUUCAAGCAGAAGGAGCAGGAAACACCGAGAAGAGUUUCGAAAAGACGUCGCAAAGAGAACUAGAACCGCUACCGACGAUGAUCAGACAACAUCUAUCGUCGACGCGGUCGUAAACCGACGAUACCAGACGAAAAGUCGACCGUUCGUCAGGUUGUCUGGCUAAGAUUCGCUGCCGUGGUUCCGUUUACGAACCCACAGAAAGGAACGUAGAUAAAUACUCAUGGGCGGCUCUUACAGUUUUACGACCGUGCCACGGUUCUACGUUUGCUCGCUCUAUUUGGCUAACGACAAUUCUGAUCUGCAUUUUCUCAAACCGAAACUAUCCUUAUCGCCCUCUGAGAUUUCUCGUGGCAUCUGGUGAAUCGCGCGUGGAAUGCGCUUGGCAACGCUUCCGCGUGUCUUUUGGCCGUUUUAUUGAUGGUGUACAACAAGUACUACACAGGAUUAUGCAAUUUUGUAUUUAUAGAAAUUCGGAUAUAAGUUAGUUUUAGUACGCGAUGCAGUGUUUCAGGAAUCUCCAAAGAAAAUUGUUCGGUGAAAUUAGAAUACAGAAUCCCUUGUUUUACAAUGUCUUGGAUCGUAUGUUUUAGGAAUAUUCAAAUAAAAUUUUAGAAUUCGAAUAUAGGAGAUUUUUAAUU